UAGGUUUAGGUAGAUACUAGAUAAUUAGAUAUAUAUUAGAUAUGAGUAUGAGUGUAUGACCUAUGUUAAUAAAGAUGAUUUUAUGUUCUAACUAAACCUUAAGAAGCUCCAAAACCUGUCAAAUAUAAGCAAAUAAAAAUAUAAAGUCACUAAUUUGAAAAUACAAAAAAAAUUAUAAGAUGACACCACAAAUCUGUAAAAUGCACAUUAACAUGUUCAACUAUGAUUAACACAUCAUAUGACAUGAUUAAAACAACAAAACAAUCAUUAAAAAAUGAUUUUUCGAAUUUUAAAAAAAUGGCCAAAAUUAAUGCGUAAAUAGAAAAAAAUAUAAAAAAAAUAUAAAAUGGCACCCCAAAUCUGUAAAAUGCAUAUUAACAUGUUCUACUAUGAUUAACACAUCAUAUGACAUGAUUAAAACAACAAAACAACCAUUAAAAACUGAUUUUUCGAAUUUUUU